CAGAGGUGCUCCUGGGAAGCAGCCGAGGGUCUCGGGACAGUGGGCGGGACUAAGGGGGCCACCUGCAGACACACCCUGGCUUCGGGACCGUCUUCCUUCUCUUCCCCCUCGGGGCCUAGAGGAGGCCACGCGCGGGGUCUCCGAGCUCUAGGGUCCGGAGCUCUAGGGUCCUUUUAUGUAGCAAAGUCAGGCCUGGGAACAGAACUUCAUGUGCUUGUAAAAAGUCUCAGGUGCGUCCUCGUUGUUUUAGAGACUUGGAGAGGAAUGGGGGCGGGGGGAACAAAAUCCGAGGACAGUCGAGCCAAGAAAAGUCGGGGCUUCUAGGAUGCCAACCACGCCAAACAGAUCAAAACCAGGACUGGAGGACUGAAGAUGAAGCCGGCAAAAAGUCACCAGCCACGGCUCUUGUAAGGUAUGCUUCACCUCUCCUGCUAAGUCUUCAUCCCUGUCUAUGAGGACAAAGAAGUUACGGGUUAAAUUGGCGAUGGGCCAGGCGCUCCUUGAGGAUGCUCUAAAGUUGGUGAUAGAAAAUGGGAGAACUGAAGACAACCACUUUAUAAAACCCUUGCCUGCUUGAAUUUGUGGUGAUGAACCGGCCCCUGGGAUUUGCUGCUCAGAACCUGAGUUCACUGAGACAUCAGGAGCAAGCACUGGAGGCCGGGUGCUGCUGGAUCCUGAUGGGAGCCAUGCAGGACUUGACCAUGGCCUGCACACACUUCUUCCCAGGAGAAGGGGAAUGAGGAAGAACUGGACGAUGAAUUUUAACCUCCACACCACAAGCACUGGGGUAGAAGACUGCUGCUGGGUGAAGAAGAGACUAGACUUGAUCAUUGAGCAGCCACUCACUGAUAUCUUCAGUGCUGCAUGAGGAAGCAGAGUUUAUUCUUCUGGAUUUGGUGGUGGAUUCUGGUGAAGAUACAGAUGGAUGCUCUGGCUGAGUCGCUACCUUGAAAUGAAAAUGGGAGGUAAACUCUCCCAUAGAUGAAUCUUCCUCAUUUUGAAGAACCGGCCCCUGAGAUUUGCUGCUCAGAACCUGAGUUCACUGAGACAUCAGGAGCAAGCACUGGAGGUCGGGUGCUGCUGGACCCAGAACCGGCCCCUGGGAUUUGCUGCUCAGAACCUGAGUUCACUGAGACAUCAGGAGCAAGCACUGGAGGCCAGGUGCUGCUGGACCCAGAUGGGAGCCAUGCAGGACUUGACCAUGGCCUGCACACACUUCUUCCCAGGAGAAGGGGAAUGAGGAAGAACUGGACCAGAAGAUUUAACUUCCAUACCACAAGCACUGGGGUAGAAGACUGCUGCUGGGUGAAGAAGAGACUAGACUUGAUCAUUGAGCAGCCACUCACUGAUAUCUUCAGUGCUGCAUGAGGAAGCAGAGUUUAUUCUUCUGGAUUUGGUGGUGGAUUCUGGUGAAGAUACAGAUGGAUGCUCUGGCUGAGUCGCUACCUUGAAAUGAAAAUGGGAGGUAAACUCUCCCAUAGAUGAAUCUUCUUCAUUUUGAAGGACUGGCCCCUGGGAUUUUCUGCUCAGGACCCGAGUUCACUGAGACAUCAGGAGCAAGCACUGGAGGCCGGUGCUGCUGGACCCAGAUGGGCGCCAUGCAGGACUUGACCAUGGCCUGCACACACUUCUUCCCAGGAGAAGGGGAAUGAGGAAAGUGGGGGGCCUCAAAGCUUCCUUUCCUUUCUGUUUGUCUUGCUAUGUUUUUAUAUUCCUUUUUAUCCAUUUAAUUAUUUAGUACAAAAUCAGGUCCAGUCUCCUUAGAUAUGGCAUUGAUAUAAAGUGUAAAAUGGAAGCUAAAUUCUAGGAGUACAGCAUUGCAUGCUUCUGACAGAGACAAGGAAGGCUAGAAUCACACAGUUAGUGGACACUGCAACUAUAUUGACAUUUUUUUUUUUUUAGACUGUGAAGGUGGGGACAGAUUGCUGCACUCAGAACACCUUCCCUGCUCUGGGGAAACAAACACUGUCAUCAUGGGGAAAAUGUUUCCUGUAGACCCACACAAGCACACACCCCUCCUCCUACAUCCAGCUUCUCCUCAGCCAUUUUGAAGCAGGGAAGAUCAGGGGGAUUCAUGAAUGGCGAAAUUUGGCCUUUUUUAGUGUAUUUCUCUCCUUCUGUAGGCAGACUGGCAUCACCUGACCCUUCAGAGUAUUAACUCAGACCCUGGUGACUGAGGUCCAGUACCAAGUGCUCAGCUGGGCUGCGGUGCAGGGACAGGAAGCAGAAGGGCAGAUUCAACCCCCCUCAGCUGGCCAUGCUAAUCUACUAGCUGGUGUCCUAGGGCAGCAAGGCGCCUCCCUCUCCAGGAUCUGAUGAGAAAACACUGCAGUUCCAGUUUCUUUCGGGGCUUGAAGAGAAGUCAAGGAAGCCCUGCAAGGCACUCACAGCUGAUCAUGCUUUCUGUAAUCGCCCUCCAUCUUCCUUCAUUGCUAGGAAUCAUUGGAAGGACAACAGCGGAGCUGUGAGUUUUGAAACCGCGUCCUCAUGGGGGCAGUAGAGGUCCACACAAGAGCUUAACUGGCCCCUGGGAUUUGCUGCUCAGAACCUGAGUUCACUGAGACAUCAGGAGCAAGUACUGGAGGCCGGUGCUGCUGGACCCAGAUGGGAGCCAUGCGGGACUUGACCAUGGCCUGCACACACUUCUUCCCAGGAGAAGGGGAG
rnacentral:lncRNA from 1 species